UCAAACUUGGUCAUUUAGAGGAAGUAAAAGUCGUAACAAGGUCUCCGUUGGUGAACCAGCGGAGGGAUCAUUACAGGACUCGCAAGACUCCCGUACACCCCUGUGAACAUACCUACAGUCGUUGCCUCGGCGGGUGCCCCGGGUGCGAACCCGGGGCGCCGCCCGCCGGCGGCCCGCAACUCUGUCUCGCGCGUUGGCAUCUCCGAGCAAAAGACAAAUAAGUUAAAACUUUCAACAACGGAUCUCUUGGUUCUGGCAUCGAUGAAGAACGCAGC
rnacentral:misc_RNA from 1 species